ACCACCGGAACUCAAAGCCUCCCCUCCUCUUCUGAGACUCCGAAGAUGGGGUUCUUAUCUCUACAUUGAAGAUGCUUCUUCCUGGGUGAGUCAUUGGAAAUUACCAUUGUGAUCACAUCAGUUUCAGCUCUUUCAAGUCUAGUGGGCAAUUACUGGCUGAAGAUGGAUGAAUCAGGUUAAAAUUUUCCCAUCAGAAAUGAGAGUCUUUUGUGGAUACAUAGGUCCUGAAACAGACAAUGUGAGAAGAUGGAGAAUAAGCAAUCUGUACUCUGAGAAACACC